GACGAACGCUGGCGGCAUGCCUAAUACAUGCAAGUCGAGCGAACAGAUGAAGUGCUUGCACUUCUGACGUUAGCGGCGAACGGGUGAGUAACACGUAAGGAAUCUACCUAUAAGCGGGGGAUAACAUUCGGAAACGGGUGCUAAUACCGCAUAAUAUCUUCUUCCGCAUGGAAGAAGAUUGAAAGACGGCUCUGCUGUCACUUAUAGAUGACCUUGCGGUGCAUUAGUUAGUUGGUGGGGUAACGGCCUACCAAGACGAUGAUGCAUAGUCGACCGGAGCGGGUGAUCGGCAACAGUGGGACUGAGACACGGCCCAAACUCCUACGGGAGGCAGCAGUAGGUAAUCUUCCGCAAGGGGCGAAAGCCUGACGGAGCAAUGCCGCGUGAGUGGAGAAGGCCUUCGGGUCGUAAAACUCUGUUAUAAGAGAAGAACAAAUUGUAGAGUAACUGCUACAGUCUUGACGGUAUCUUAUCAGAAAGCCACAGCUAACUACGUGCCAGCAGCCGCCGUAA
rnacentral:rRNA from 1 species